rnacentral:rRNA from 1 species
GUGCCAGCCGCCGCGGUAAUACGAAGGGGGCUAGCGUUGUUCGGAAUUACUGGGCGUAAAGCGCGCGUAGGCGGACGCUUAAGUCAGGGGUGAAAGGCCGGGGCUCAACCCCGGAACGGCCUUUGAUACUGGGUGUCUGGAGUCCGGAAGAGGUUGGUGGAAUUCCGAGUGUAGAGGUGAAAUUCGUAGAUAUUCGGAGGAACACCAGAGGCGAAGGCGGCCAACUGGUCCGGAACUGACGCUGAGGCGCGAAAGCGUGGGGAGCAAACAGGAUUAGAAACCCCCGUAGUCC